AACGCGAAGAACCUUACCAAGGCUUGACAUAUACAGGAAAAGCGUAGAAAUACGCUCCCCGCAAGGUCUGUAUACAGGUGGUGCAUGGUUGUCGUCAGCUCGUGUCGUGAGAUGUUGGGUUAAGUCCCGCAACGAGCGCAACCCUCGUCCUAUGUUGCCAGCACGUAAUGGUGGGAACUCAUGGGAUACUGCCGGGGUCAACUCGGAGGAAGGCGGGGAUGACGUCAAAUCAUCAUGCCCCUUAUGUCUUGGGCUUCACGCAUGCUACAAUGGCCGGUACAGAGGGCUGCAAUACCGUAAGGUGGAGCGAAUCCCAAAAAGCCGGUCUCAGUUCGGAUUGAGGUCUGCAACUCGACCUCAUGAAGUCGGAGUCGCUAGUAAUCGUAGAUCAGCAACGCUACGGUGAAUACGUUCCCGGGUCUUGUACACACCGAAU
rnacentral:rRNA from 1 species